CGGAGAAGGAGCAUGAGAACCUUUUACCACAUCCAAGGAAGGCAGCAGGCGCGCAAAUUACCCAAUCCCAACACGGGGAGGUAGUGACAAUAUGUAACAAUAUACGGCCUUAUACGUCGUAUAAUUGGAAUGAGUACAAUUUAAAUCCCCUAACGAGGAACAAUUGGAGGGCAAGUCUGGUACCAGCAGCCGCGGUAAUUCCAGCUCCAAUAGCGUAUAUUAAAGUUGUUGCAGUUAAAAAGCUCGUAGUUGGACCUUGGACCUGGACAGGCGGUCCGCCUCACGGCGAGUACUGUCUUGCUGGGUCUUUCCUCUUGGUGAUCUGUUGUUUCGGCAGCAGGGGACCAGGACCUUUACUUUGAAAAAAUUAGAGUGUUCAAAGCAGGCUCGACGCCGGAAUAUAUUAGCAUGGAAUAAUAAAAUAGGACGUGCGGUUCUAUUUUGUUGGUUUUUGGAAUCGCCGUAAUGAUUAAUAGGGACAGUCGGGGGCAUUACUACUCACAUGCUAGAGGUGAAAUUCUUGGAUUUUGUGAAGGCUAACUUCUGCGAAAGCAUUUGCCAAGGAUGUUUUCAUUAAUCAAGAACGAAGGUUAGGGUAUCGAAAACGAUUACAUACCGUUGUAGUCUUAACAGUAAACUAUGCCGACUAGGGAUCGGUCGAUGUUAUCUUUUCCACUCCAUCGGCACCUUACGAAAAAUCAAAGUUUUUGGGGUUCUGGGGUGAAGUAUGGUCGCAAGGCUGAAACUUUAAAGAAAUUGACGGAAGG
rnacentral:rRNA from 1 species